GCUCUGCUGAUCGGCAAAGAGGCCUAGGAUCGGCAAGGCCUGCAAACUGCAGAGCUCUUCUCUCCCCGCCUCUCAGCUGAUCGGCGGGUGGGCGGGGCUUCCAGAGAGGCCUCCCAGUAGGCCUCCCUGAAGCCUGAACUCGAGUAGGCCCCAAGGAAGGAGGGAGGAAGCAGGCAGCAGACCCUCUGCCCAGACCAGACCAUCCAGAACAGCUAUUGCUAGGAUCCUCACUGGGACAAAUGACCAAUCAACAAAACACAAAGGUUUUGCGUUUAACUAGAAAGAAUACAGCACCAUCAUUGAGGGAACCAUGAAUUCAGCUGCAGAUCAGAAAAUUCUAGAGCACAAUGUCAGGCCAUCUGUCUGUGAACUGAAGCUGAACCAAAAGUGGGUCAUGCAGCAAGAAAAUGACCCUAAACAUUCAAGUAGGUUACCACAGAAUGAUUGAAGAAAAAGAGAUUUCAUUGAGUUGGAGUGGCCAACUCAAAAUACCAACCCAAACCCUCUUUAAAUGUUGUGGCAAGACCUGAAGCAAGCUGUUCAUGCAUGAAAGCCCUCAAAAGUCACAUUGCUGAAACAGUUUUUGAUAGAAGAAUGGGCCCGGAUUCCUCCAAGCCGAUGUGAGAGACUGAUCUCCAAUUACAGGAAACGUCUUGUUGCAGUUAUUGCUGCUCGAGGAGGUGCCACCAGUUACUGAGUGAAGGGUUCACAUACUUUUCCACACAAGGAUGUUUGUUGUUGAAUCUUUCUUUUGGAGGAAUAUUCAAAAUAUAUCCUUUUUGCCUGAGUUACUUAUUCAAUGGGGUUGCCUUUCUCUCUUAUCAGGGUUUAGCUUGGGAUCUAAUAAUGUUUGAAUAAGAAUUGUGCCAACAUACAGACCAUCCUAGGGGGUUGACAAACAUUUCCACAGCACUGUAUUUUUCUUGCAUGGGUAAGGUAUCUACUUUCUUUUUAUAAAUCUGAAAAAAAUAUGUUGUUGAUGUCAUUAGUUGUUGUUUUUAAUUAUGUCCAAUCUAUGAUGGACAUAAACUUGACUGAAGUCAGAGGAUGGACAGGUAUUUCAGUGGUUAUUAAUCUGAGGUCUAUAAGCCACCUCCAACCUAAGAAGCCUCUAAAUACCAGUUGCAGGGGAGCAACAGCAGGACAGGGCAUACCCUCACCUCUUGCCUUUGGGGUCGGCUUCUCGGAGGCUACUGUGUGAAAGGGUGCAGGACUGGAUGGGCCUUGGGCCUGAUCCAGCAGGGCUGUUCUGACAUUCGAAUGUUCAUUAUUCUAUUGUUUUAAAAACUAUAAGCAACUUUACAGUAUGGAAAUGAAGACAGAGAGGCAAAGGGGUGGAGAGAAUCAAUGGAAGAGGAAGAAUGACAAUUUAGUGAUCUCACGUCUUCAUGAGUAUUUUUCCAGUAUUUGGGGCUGUAUAGUUUUCAUAUGUGACAAUCCAGUGAUUGAUUCUGUUCUAUGAAUAACCUGCACUGCCUGUUGAAUAAUUACCCUUUCUCUUGUUCUACUAUAUGUAGUUGAGUCUAAAUAUUUGUAAAAAUAUUUGUCGUCUUCAGUAGAUAUUUCAGUAGUCCUCAAUGACAAACAGCAUUAAAUAUUUCUGUAGAAAUACUAUCUGAUUGAAUUCAAAUAUUAAAAUUUAAAUUGUGAUUAUUUUUGUCUCUAUAUGUUUAUCAUUCAUAUGUACAUGGAGAGGUAAGGAGAAAGCCGGUAAGAGAAGGAAGUACAACUUACAAAACGUUUUCUGCUGAGUGGAACUUUAGAAUUUCCAUUGAUUUUCUUUUCAGCUUACCUCUAUAAAACGUUAUUAAUGAUG